AAAAAGCUGAAGAUUUAAAAGUUGAACGUAUAAAUAGGUAAAAGUAUGCAGAAGUUAGAGAGAGCCAAAAAACGUACGGAAUAAUAAAAUAAAAGUUAUAAAUAAAGAACCGAAUAACAAUAGUUGGAAUGCUGAACAGCAUUCCCACUAAAAUAAAGAACUGUAUAACAAUAGCUGUAGAAGCAUUCCCACUAAAUAAAGAACAGAAUAACAAUAGUGGGAAUGCUGAACAGCAAUCCCACUAAAAUAAUAAAGAACUGAAUAACAAUAGUUGGAAUGCUGUGGAACAGCAUUCCCACUAAAAUAAAGAACAGAAUAACAAUAGUGGGAAUGCUGUGGAACAGCAUUCUAAAAUUAUGUAG